CCUACGGGUGGCAGCAGUGAGGAAUAUUGGUCAAUGGACGAGAGUCUGAACCAGCCAAGUAGCGUGAAGGAUGACUGCCCUAUGGGUUGAAAACUUCUUUUAUAUGGGAAUAAAAUGUUCCACGUGUGGGAUUUUGUAUGUACCAUAUGAAUAAGGCUCGGCUAACUACGUGCCAGCAGCCGCGGUAAUACGGAGGAGCCGAGCGUUAUCCGGAUUUAUUGGGUUUAAAGGGAGCGUAGGUGGAUUGUUAAGUCAGUAGUGAAAGUUUGCGGCGCAACCGUAAAAUUGCAGUUGAAACUGGCAGUCUUGAGUACAGUAGAGGUAGGCGGAAUUCGUGGUGUAGCGGUGAAAUGCUUAGAUAUCACGAAGAACUCCGAUUGCGAAGGCAGUUCACUGGACUGCAACUGACACUGAGGCUCGAAAGUGUGGGUAUCAAACAGGAUUAGAUACCCCUGUAGUC
rnacentral:rRNA from 1 species